UAACACAUGCAAGUCGAACGGCAGCACAAGGGAGUUUACUCCUGAGGUGGCGCAGCGGCGGUACGGGUGAGUAAUGCCUAGGGCAUCUGCCCAGUCGAGGGGGAUAACAGUUGGAAACGACUGCUAAUACCGCAUACGCCCUACGGGGGAAAGGAGGGGACCUUUUGGCCUUCCGCGAUUGGAUGAACCUAGGUGGGAUUAGCUAGUUGGUGAGGUAAUGGCUCACCAAGGCGACGAUCCCUAGCUGUUCUGAGAGGAUGAUCAGCCACACUGGGACUGAGACACGGCCCAUACUCCUACGGGAGGCAGCAGUGGGGAAUAUUGCACAAUGGGGGAAACCCUGAUGCAGCCAUGCCGCGUGUGUGAAGAAGGCCUUCGGGUUGUAAAGCACUUUCAGUAGGGAGGAAAGGGUAAGUCUUAAUACGGCUUAUCUGUGACGUUACCUACAGAAGAAGGACCGGCUAACUCCGUG
rnacentral:rRNA from 1 species